GGCUCUUCGGCGGCUAAGUAUCUGUGAGUUGACCCCUUCUAAAAAUGCAUGUUUUAAUAGUAGAAAUGCAUACAUGAAAGGCAUGAGUUAAUGAUUACGUUUUAUGAAACGCUUUAAGAUAACAUGCUUACUAAAGCUAGUUUGAAUUAUUAAUAUUUUUCCUAUAACCCAUAUUCUUAUAAAAUAUCCGAUGGAUGACGAUAUGAUAUUUAGAACAUGUUUCGAACGCCUCUUUAUAGUAUAGAUGAUGAAUGACUUUAUACUAUGAUGUUAUUUUUCAAUAUAUAUAUGUUCAGUGGUUUUGUACUUACCUAGUGGUCAUUUCCG
rnacentral:lncRNA from 1 species